CCCUUAGAUGUUCUGGGCCGCACGCGCGCUACACUGAUGCAUUCAACGAGUUUCUUCCUGGUCCGAGAGGAAUGGGUAACCUUUUGAAAGUGCAUCGUGAUAGGGAUAGACUAUUGCAAUUAUUGGUCUUCAACGAGGAAUUCCUAGUAGACGUAGUUCAUCAGACUGCAUGGAUUACGUCCCUGCCCUUUGUACACACCGCCCGUCGCUCCUACCGAUUGAAUGCCCAGGUGAGCCAUUCGGACUUUCAUCAUGCUGGUUUCCAGUUUUGAUGAAGGAAAGUCUUGCGAACCUUAUCAUUUAGAGGAAGGAGAAGUCGUAACA
rnacentral:rRNA from 1 species